GACGAACGCUGGCGGCGUGCUUAACACAUGCAAGUCGAACGGAAAGGCCUCUUUCGGGGGGUACUCGAGUUGGGAACGGGUGAGUAACACGUGAGUAACCUACCCUUGACUUUGGGAUAACUUCAUUAAACUGGGGCUAAUACCGGAUAGGAGCUCCUUCUGCCUGGUUGGUGUUGGAAAGAUUCGGGGGUUGGUGGUGGACUGGCGGCGUAUCAGCUUGGUAGUGGGGAAGUGGCUUACCAAGGCUUUGACGGGUAGCCGGACUGAGAGGGUGACCGGCCACAUUGGGACUGAGAUACGGCACAGAUUCCUACUGGAGGCCGCAGUGGGGAAUCUUGCACAAUCGGUGGCAGCUUGAUGAAGCAAGGCUGUGUGCGGGAUGACGGCCUUCGGGUUGUAAAACGCAUUCGCUCAUGACGAAGCUUUGUGUGACGGUAGUGGGUAAAGAAGCAACGGCUAACUACGUG
rnacentral:rRNA from 1 species